rfam:Marchantia polymorpha subsp. polymorpha scaffold3083, whole genome shotgun sequence.
GCUGGAUUAGCUCAGUUGGUUAGAGCGUGCGGCUGUUAACCGCAAGGUCGGAGGUUCGACCCCUCCAUCUAGCG